rnacentral:rRNA from 1 species
GACGAACGCUGGCGGCGUGCCUAAUACAUGCAAGUAGAACGCUGAAGGAGGAGCUUGCUUCUCCGGAUGAGUUGCGAACGGGUGAGUAACGCGUAGGUAACCUGCCUGGUAGCGGGGGAUAACUAUUGGAAACGAUAGCUAAUACCGCAUAAGAGUAGAUGUUGCAUGACAUUUGCUUAAAAGGUGCAAUUGCAUCACUACCAGAUGGACCUGCGUUGUAUUAGCUAGUUGGUGAGGUAACGGCUCACCAAGGCGACGAUACAUAGCCGACCUGAGAGGGUGAUCGGCCACACUGGGACUGAGACACGGCCCAGACUCCUACGGGAGGCAGCAGUAGGGAAUCUUCGGCAAUGGACGGAAGUCUGACCGAGCAACGCCGCGUGAGUGAAGAAGGUUUUCGGAUCGUAAAGCUCUAUUGUAAGAGAAGAACGAGUGUGAGAGUGGAAAGUUCACACUGUGACGGUAUCUUACCAGAAAGGGACGGCUAACUACGUG